GUUGAACGCUGGCGGCAUGCCUUACACAUGCAAGUCGAACGGUAACAGGUCUUCGGAUGCUGACGAGUGGCGAACGGGUGAGUAAUACAUCGGAACGUGCCCGAGAGUGGGGGAUAACGAGGCGAAAGCUUUGCUAAUACCGCAUACGAUCUCAGGAUGAAAGCAGGGGACCGCAAGGCCUUGCGCUCAUGGAGCGGCCGAUGGCAGAUUAGGUAGUUGGUGGGAUAAAAGCUUACCAAGCCGACGAUCUGUAGCUGGUCUGAGAGGACGACCAGCCACACUGGGACUGAGACACGGCCCAGACUCCUACGGGAGGCAGCAGUGGGGAAUUUUGGACAAUGGGCGCAAGCCUGAUCCAGCCAUGCCGCGUGCAGGAUGAAGGCCUUCGGGUUGUAAACUGCUUUUGUACGGAACGAAAAGACGCUGGUUAAUACCUGGGGUCCAUGACGGUACCGUAAGAAUAAGCACCGGCUAACUACGUGCCAGCCGCCGCCGUAACAC
rnacentral:rRNA from 1 species